rnacentral:lncRNA from 1 species
GUCCGUCGCGGGAGCUGAGCCCACGAGGCCCUGGAGCGCGGUGGCUGGGCCCGUAGCGCCACCUGGCGGCGGAUCAGGACCCCGCGCCCUUGCGUCCCUGGAAGUGGGAGAAGGGGCAGGGGGCUCCACCCUGCACCACCACCCCAGCGCGCUCCCGAGGCCGUUCCCCAAGGAUGCGCGGGCCCCAGGGAGAGCGACGCUGCCCGCGCGGCGCUUUCCUGGCCGCCUGGAGUCCGGGAACGGCGAAUCCCGCUCGCAGCGGACCGAGGCGAGGCGCAGCGGGACGGGAUCGGUGGGAACGGAAACAGCGGUCACCCGGAAGCCCAGAACCAGCGAGUACGCGGUGCAGUGUUCGCUUCCCAAACGUUGUGGGACAAACGCCUUUCAACUGUUUCUGGACGCCCGUGGGCCGGCGUUACCCUGUUGAGUGCCAAGCACCUCUGAUGUUCAAUAAACAUCUUUGGAAUGAGUCCUGGAGUGAAUAGCCAGCUGACCACUUCAAUACGUUGAGACAGAACCCCCAGGUGAACCGUGGGCCAUGGGCAUCCUAACGACCUUUGGUUUGUAGGGAGUUAGGUGUGCAGGUCAGGUGGAUGGGGACAGCAUGGGAGGUGAGUUUCAAACGUUGGGGUUCACUGGGGUCAGCUUUAGAUCUGAAGGUCAUGGUCCCUCUCUUACUGAGGCUGUUGCUCUCCCAAGCACAGUGGCCAUGAGACCUACAGCCCCUGCUUUUCUUUCUGCUUCAGUGCCCUCCUCCAUCCACUGCUGGUGGCCCCAACACGUGGAUGACAACUUGAUAAAAGUCUCAAACUAUAUGGAAAGGGUCUGAGAUACUGCCGAGCACUAUCAUUAAAAUUGUGCCCACUCACCCAAUAGAUCCCCUUCCCCUCCCUGCGUAUUUUCCUCCCCAGCACUCUGGUGUAGAUGCUUUCUUCAUUAAUUUGCUUGUUUUCAGUCUCCCCCAGUUAGACUGUAAGCCCCAUGAGGGCAGGCAUCUCUCUGUUCCAGUAAUUUCUGUAUCCGUGUGCCUGGAAUGAUGUGGAGGGUGCCCAUCCCACUGCAUAGCUCUCCCUAUACCUGGCCGCCUCCCUUCUUGAUCUUUCUAAAAUUCAAACCUAUCAUGUCGUCCCUUUGCUUAAACGAUUUUAUUGUCUUCCCAUUCACUUUAGGAUGAAGAAAAAUAAUCUUUACCUCUAAAUAUGUUUAAUUUUAUUAACUUAUCCCACCCAGAUUAAGGUAAAAACAAUAACAACAACAACAAACUCUCCU